GACGAACGCUGGCGGUGUGCUUAACACAUGCAAGUCGAACGGUAAGGCCCUUUCGGGGGUACACGAGUGGCGAACGGGUGAGUAACACGUGAGUAACCUGCCCUCAUCUCUGGGAUAACAGUCGGAAACGGUUGCUAAUACUGGAUAUGAGCUUGCAAGGCAUCUUGUGGGUUGGAAAGAUUUUUUUUGGUUGGGGAUGGAGUCGCGGCCUUUCAGCUUGUUGGUGGGGUGGUGGCUCACCAAGGCGUCGUCGGGUAGCCGGCCUGAGAGGGCGACCGGCCACAUUGGGACUGAGAGACGGCCCAAACUCCUACGGGGGGCAGCAGUGGGGAAUAUUGCACAAUGGACGGAAGUCUGAUGCAGCAACGCCGCGUGCGGGAUGACGGCCUUCGGGUUGUAAACCGCUUUCAAUUGUGACGAAGCGUUUUUGUGACGGUAGCAGUAGAAGAAGCACCGGCUAACUACGUG
rnacentral:rRNA from 1 species